GCUGAUUUCCUUGAAGGGUAAGAAAUUGAGAUGUGAACAGUUGAGGAUGUUAGCAUAGUGCAUUUUGUUUACGGUAGAUGCACCUUCUUGGGUUGGAUUUACAACAGAUCAACAUCAGCAUCUUUGCAUUCGUGUGCUUAGAUGACAGGGUCUAGUUUAUAAUUUCUAUCAGUCCCCAAUUGACUCACUGCUGUGGCGCUCUCUCCGAAUCAUGUCUAGCAGAUCCUGGACAACUUCAGACAUUGAUGGCCUGAAUUCUGGCUGAGUCUGAACACACCGAGAAAUAAUAUCAGCAAAGUUUGAUAAUGAUUUGGCAGGGUACUCUCCAUUAAGAGAAGGAUCAACCAUCCUGGACAAUGCAUCAAUGUCAUGAAGCUGGGGUACUGCCCACCUCACCAGAAAUUGUUCGCCUCGAUUUCGUGUCCUGUCAAGGGACUUUCGGCCUGUUAAGAGUUCUAACAUAACCACCCCAAAGCUAUAAACAUCACUCUGUGCAGUAUAAAUUCCUGACUCAAAUUCUGGAGCCCCAUAACCAUAAGCUGUUAGCAGUUGCCCUGACAACUGACUAACAUCAUUUGAUGAUAUUAGUGGAGCCAAACCACAAUCUGAGACACGAACAGCAAGAUCAUCAUCUAGGAGAAUGUUUGCAGACUUGAAAUUUCUGUGGACAACAGGUGGCUGACAGAUCUCAUGCAAAUACUCUAAAGCUCUGGCAGCUCCAAGCGCCAUCCUGACACGGGCGUUCCAGGAAAGCUGCUUCUUCGAUUCAUCAUCUGAAUGUAGUGCAUCCUGUAGUGUUCCAUUACUGCAAUACUCAUAAAUCAGAAGCCUUUGACCAUGCUCCGCACAGAAACCCAUGAGCUCAACAACAUUAGCAUUUCGGAUCCGAUCAACAUUGUUAACCAGUUCAAUGAACUCAUCAUCGUUCUGCUGGCUUGAAGCCUUCUUGUCCAGUUUCUUAACUGCAAGAAGCUUUCCUUUAGGAAGCUCCGCCCUAUAAACAUUUCCCAGCAUACCUCCACCUAUAAGAUUUUCUUGAGAAAAGCUGUUUGUGUAUUGCU
rnacentral:misc_RNA from 1 species